rnacentral:rRNA from 1 species
AACGCGAAGAACCUUACCUACCCUUGACAUACAGAGAACUUUCUAGAGAUAGAUUGGUGCCUUCGGGAACUCUGAGACAGGUGCUGCAUGGCUGUCGUCAGCUCGUGUUGUGAAAUGUUGGGUUAAGUCCCGUAACGAGCGCAACCCUUAUCCUUAGUUGCUACCAUUUAGUUGGGCACUCUAAGGAGACUGCCGGUGAUAAACCGGAGGAAGGUGGGGACGACGUCAAGUCAUCAUGGCCCUUAUGGGUAGGGCUACACACGUGCUACAAUGGCCGGUACAGAGGGCCGCAAACUCGCGAGAGUAAGCUAAUCCCUUAAAGCCGGUCCUAGUCCGGAUUGCAGUCUGCAACUCGACUGCAUGAAGCUGGAAUCGCUAGUAAUCGCGGAUCAGAAUGCCGCGGUGAAUUCGUUCCCGGGUCUUGUACACACCG